CCUACGGGAGGCAGCAGUGAGGAAUAUUGGUCAAUGGACGUAAGUCUGAACCAGCCAAGUCGCGUGAAGGAAGACUGCCCUAUGGUUUGUAAACUUCUUUUAUAUGGGAAUAAAGUUAUCCACGUGUGGACUUUUGUAUGUACCCUAUGAAUAAGGAUCGGCUAACUCCGUGCCAGCAGCCGCGGUAAUACGGAGGAUUCGAGCGUUAUCCGGAUUUAUUGGGUUUAAAGGGUGCGUAGGUGGAUUGUUAAGUCAGUUGUGAAAGUUUGCGGCUCAACCGUAAAAUUGCAGUUGAAACUGGAAGUCUUGAGUGGGGUAGAGGUAGGCGGAAUGCGUGGUGUAGCGGUGAAAUGCAUAGAUAUCACGCAGAACUCCGAUUGCGAAGGCAGCUUACUGGACCAUAACUGACACUGAGGCACGAAAGCGUGGGGAUCAAACAGGAUUAGAUACCCGAGUAGUC
rnacentral:rRNA from 1 species